UGACCACCUGCGCCGGAGUCGCCGGCCUACAGGUUAAGGCCAUACGGACAGCCGGGUCAGCUGCCGA
rnacentral:sRNA from 1 species